rnacentral:tRNA from 1 species
GGAGAGAUGUCCGAGUGGUUGAAGGAGCACGCCUGGAAAGCGUGUGUAGGGGAUAACUCUACCGGGGGUUCGAAUCCCCCUCUCUCCG